UUGUUGUUGUUGUUAUAAUUAGGGCAAAUAACAGGCUGAUAUGUACUGCAAGAAAAAGGAGAUAUAGUAGCCACAAACAUAACAACUAUAUUUUGUUUUAGGAAAACGUGUUCAGAAACCUGAGUCAAAGAUUUUAGGAAUGAGUAUCUUUGAAAAAGAUGCCUCCACAGAAGGAAUUGGUGAGUUGCAAAUGAAAUCAGUGUUCCCUUCAUUUGAUGAGGCCAAUUAAAUUAUUGGGAUUGAAGUAUUGUCAUAGGUGUGUGUGUAUGUAUGUGUGUGAGUGCACAUGCGCACGCAUGUGUGUGAUGAAGAUAUCUACAUACUGAUAAAUAUAGAUAAGUAUUUCAUCUGUAUCAGUGGAAGGUAAAAAUGCAUAUCUUCAUUCAAGAUGUAAAGGUGUAGGUGUGCGUACUGAGAAUGUAAACAUGUAAUUAUGUAUUUUGAACAGGACUCUUGAAAGCAUGUUGGUCCAUUCCAGAGAAAUUUACUCAUGAUUACUAUGUUCUGUUGAAAAUAAUUAGUUCCAACUAUUCUAUUCAUUU